UUGGAAUUUCUUUAUUUUUCUUUUGUUCAUCCUCCCUAUUUACGACGUUGCUUCCACUCAUUCUUGCUAUUCGUUUCGUUUUCGACGUGUGUGGUUUCUUUUUUGUCAGUUGUUUGUUUUGUAGGUUGAAAACGUUCGAUAAGUUCAAUCCGUUGCUUUUCUAGGUGAUGUUGGAGAGACGAUUAAUCCACCGACGAAUUAGAAUUUUUGGUGAACUAUUAUUUUCUUGAAGGUAACACUUAAACUUAGGUGGGUCGGUGCGACGGGAGCUCAAUUAUAACCAUAUUUUUGUAAAUUUAAUUUAUUUAAAUUUGGGUUUGAGAGUUUUGGAAAUUUUGGAAUGUCUGGACAUUUUUGGUU